AAUAUUGCACAAUGGGGGAAACCCUGAUGCAGUGACGCCGCGUGAGCGAAGAAGGCCUUCGGGUCGUAAAGCUCUGCUCUAAGGGAAGAAAUGGACGGUACCUUAGGAGGAAGCCCCGGCUAACUACUUUCCAGCAGCCCCGGUAAUACGUACGGGGCGAACGUUGUCCGGAAUUAUUGGGCGUAAAGGGUGCGUAGGCGGCCUUCUAAGUCAGGUGUGAAAGGCUACGGCUUAACCGUAGUUAGCAUUGGAAACUAAAAGGAUUGAGUGCAGGAGAGGAGAGUGGAAUUCCUAGUGUAGCGGUGAAAUGCGUAGAUAUUAGGAGGAACACCAGUGGCGAAGGCGACUCUCUGGACUGCAACUGACGCUGAGGCACGAAAGCGUGGGGAGCGAACA
rnacentral:rRNA from 1 species